AUUGAACGCUGGCGGCAUGCUUUACACAUGCAAGUCGAACGGCAGCGGGGAGGAGCUUGCUUCUCCGCCGGCGAGUGGCGAACGGGUGAGUAAUACAUCGGAACGUGUCGAGAAGAGGGGGAUAACCACCCGAAAGGGUGGCUAAUACCGCAUAAAUUCUGAGGAAGAAAGCUGGGGACCUAGGAAUAGGCCUAGCGCUUUUUGAGCGGCCGAUGUCGGAUUAGCUAGUUGGUGAGGUAAAGGCUCACCAAGGCGAAGAUCUGUAGCGGGUCUGAGAGGAUGAUCCGCCACACUGGGACUGAGGCACGGCCCAGACUCCUACGGGAGGCAGCAGUGGGGAAUUUUGGACAAUGGGGGCAACCCUGAUCCAGCCAUGCCGCGUGUAUGAAGAAGGCCUUAGGGUUGUAAAGUACUUUUGUUAGGGAAGAAAAGUCAGCUGUGAAUAAUGGCUGAUACUGACGGUACCUAAAGAAUAAGCACCGGCUAACUACGUG
rnacentral:rRNA from 1 species